CUUCCUGAUGGUCACGAUCCACCUUCAUCAACCGCCACAAUCUUCAUCACAAUUGCAGGUUGGAUCCGACUUAUGGUAUCAUCACAGGUUGACUGUUCAAAGGAUUUCGGCAUCAUGGAAGCAAUUGCACCGACAGAGUCGGUAAUUCUUGAACAUCAGAUCUAUUCGUCAUUUGCAUCCUGUUGCCUAUCUCGUAUCAUGUCGUUGAUCUCGUUCUUAUUUACAGUUCUCUAACCGUAGCUUAUACUCGUGUUUAGGGUGAAGGGCGUUAUCAAGUUGUGAUUAUAUCUGCUAAGACUGCGGGGUAUGGGGCGGGGGUUUGGGCGUGGGUGGGCUGAAAACGCCCAAGCCACCACCCCGGGUGGGCAUGGGUUUGGGCGUGGCCCCUUUUUCGUGGGUUUGAAGCCGGGCGUGGGGCGGGCUAGCAAGGUGACAUGGCAGGCUCUCAAUGGCUAUGUGUCAACUUAUGCCCCAAACCCCAGCUCCUAACUCAAGCCCCACCAUACCCCACAGUCUAAGAUCACUUCAUCCUCCUCUGAGAUAGUUGGCAAAAAGUUAGAACCUAGAGAAAAGGCGUUUAACUUUUGGUGUUGUUUCUGAGCGUUUGGAUCGUGAACCUACCACUGCAGAUGUGUUACUUGCUGCUGCUGAUAUCGUAUUUUCUGGAUCAGAAGAGGCUUCCGCACCUGUACCUGGAAGCAGCGUUACACCAAUCACCCUGCGGAAAUCUGCAAGAUCUAGAAAUUAAGAAAAGGACGCAAUGCUAGAAAUCUACUGUUUGUUUUGGUGGUGUAGUGUAGAUGGUGGGAAAUCUAAAUAAAUUAGUUUUUUU